GAUGAACGCUGGCGGCGUGCUUAACACAUGCAAGUCGAACGGCAAGGCCCAAGCUUGCUUGGGUACUCGAGUGGCGAACGGGUGCGUAACACGUGGGUGAUCUGCCCUGCACUUCGGGAUAAGCCUGGGAAACUGGGUCUAAUACCGGAUAGGACCACAUUUUGGAUGGUGUGGUGGAAAGUUUUUCGGUGUGGGAUGAGCUCGCGGCCUAUCAGCUUGUUGGUGGGGUAAUGGCCUACCACGGCGUCGACGGGUAGCCGGCCUGAGAGGGUGUACGGCCACAUUGGGACUGAGAGACGGCCCAGACGCCGACGGGAGGCAGCAGUGGGGAAUAUUGCACAAGGGGCGCAAGCCUGAUGCAGCGACGCCGCGUGGGGGAUGACGGCCUUCGUGUUGAAGAAUACUUGCGCUAGGGACGAAGCGUUAUGUGACGGUACCUGGAGAAGAAGCACCGGCUAACUACGUG
rnacentral:rRNA from 1 species